AGAGCUCGAGUAGAUUCAUGAAUGUCCUGGAAUUUCAGUAUGGGCUUAACAGGUCGAGAGAGUCUUAUGCCGCGCAAUCUCUUGCCGAAUCUAUUUAUACUAUGUUAAAUCCAUAACUCGAGAACACACAUUUGCGAAUCCGGCCCUCUUUCGUUCGUCGUGAUUGCUUUGAUUGCUCUGAAAACACCCCCUCUCACUCAGGGGUAGCGAUCAGAUCUUCCUGCUUCAGCGGUUACGAAUGGCGAUUCUUACCACAAAAUUAGACAUUCCACUUUGAAUGCUGUUUUCUUUCGCUUUGUUUUGGCUUCCAUCCCUGAGCUUUAGCCCUUGCUUUCUUACGAAGAAGAGGCUUUCUCAGAUCAUAUGGGGGAAUAAAACUCAACAACCGGUCGUUCAAGUUCAAGAAGCAAAUCUAGAAAAAGGGAAAAGUAAAAGACUUGGAGAAAGAAAUAAACUUGGAAUUUUGGCAUAGAAGAAGAAUUCAUCCAUAUAAGAAACAAAGAAAAAGAUUU
rnacentral:lncRNA from 1 species